UACUACUCAACCGGCCAGUUUGUAUAGUCAAGAGAGGACAGAACAAACUGAAACGCCAAUGAACGGUGAAGCGUUGAAAGAUUUGUAGCUCUACCUUUCUGUUUUGACCAACAAGAAAAAGGUGGCCGCCAGGUGCACGGGAGGAGGGAGGGCACCAGAAGCCCUUACCGUGGCCGAGGAGUUGGCGCUCGCCAACAAUAGCGGUAGGCCAAUCAUGGAGGGGGUAGAAGGAGGCCUACAAUCCACCCCUGGUGCUGUGGAAAUGUCGACCCUCUGCGUGCGGGGUAAUAUGGCAUUCAAGUUCCAUGUAAGAAGUGUGUUUUCUCGUUCAUCAGUGGCAUGUCUUGUGUUGUGUGUACAGUUGAAGGAAGCAAUCUGGAGACCAUCCAGCCACCACAGCCCAUACCCGGCUCCAGUGAUCCUCCGGCCGAGGAGGAGGAUGACGAGACCCUCACGGCCAAAUCCGACACCCACAUGCAGGUUGAAAGACUCUACCACUGCUACUAUAUGCUGUCUCAAUAUUCUAGGAGGGUGCCCCAUUACUCUUCAGCAGUACUGCAUUUGAAGUGUGACUUGUAUCAAUGAUGCAAUCAGUCUGUGUGCUUGUGUUCCUUUGUAGAAGGAGUUGGAGCUGCCCCUGUCCCCUCCUGAGGCUUCCCUGCCAGGGACAUCACAAUGUCACAAAGUACAGUUUCUUCCUCUUCGGUCCAUCAUUGCUGACUGUUAUGCAUACUAGGCUAAUAUGUUCAUUCUGGGGUGGGGGUUCUGUAGGCCGGAGUGGACAAUGUGCGCAGCCUGUACAAGAAAAUGUUACGGCUAGACUGCAAAAAAAAAAGAGGCUGCAAAUUCGGAAGCUCGAACUAGAAAUUGAAAAGUUGGAGCAUGAGAAGAAGGUAUUAGUACAUUUUGUGUGUGUGUGUGUGUGUGUGUGUGCGCGCGCGCGUGCAAGCAAGCAUUCAUUCAUUCAUUUGGCUUUUCUUUAUUUUGUGUUACUGCCUGAAAAAUUGGUUUGUGAUGGCCUCUCUCACUGAACGGCCUGUGGGAUGGUCCAGGGUCAUGGGGUCAACAACAUCAGGGGGUGAGGGAACAUGAUUGGGAACCCUUUCUUUUCUAAUGGUGGCUAUGUUAUGUAGUACCACACAUGCCACUGUUAUUUGACAGGCCUUCUCUGGCCUCACACGCAGGCCUUUUAGGCAGGCAAACCGAGCCUUCAAUAUGCCGAACGUGAUCGCGAUUCGUGCUCUUGUAACACUGUGGGCAUGACUGAAGGCUCUCUGGGCCCUUGUUUGAGGGUCUGCGAAUGAUGUCAGGAGGUGUUUCAAACAUGGGUAUCCACGGUCCCCGAGCAGGAUACCAUCAAAUCGCCCUUGUAUGAAAUGGAGAGAAAUGUAGUUAGUGUCAAACAACUGUAAGAUGCUCACUAUUCUUUACUUAAGGAAUACCAUGAAGUUUGAGUAGGGACGUCUGUGGUAUUUUAGCUCGUUUCUGUAUUGUCCCGAUAUCUUUUUGAUGCAGGAUGAUUUGUGUUUUAAGGAUUAGAUGUAGGAUUAUCUUACUUUCCUCGAAUCCCGCAGCUAGUGAGGAUUCUCUAAAUAUGCGGGAAUCGUGGACAGACCCUGGCCAUCUUGCAUCCAGGCUAGUUAUCAUCAACUGGUGGUCACAUGUCAUCUAAGAACAUCAAGCAUUUGUGCAAGGAUAGGGGACAUGACUGAGGUACAAGCACACUGUUACCCCUGCAAAUGAGGAACACCACCAACCCAUGUGGAGGACAAAACAUCACCUAACACAAAAUGGGACCAGUACUGACAGGUUGAUUUGAGGUAUGGACAUGACCUAUUUGAAUGUGGGCCUAUAUGAAGUAGACCUUUUACCUGUACGUUGAUGCUAUGGAAGGAUUUUCUAUUCACAUAAUCCCCCUCAUGCUCUCCCAGGGGUGCACUGAUUUGGAUGUGAGUGCAGUCAAUGGCUCCUAUUACUCUUGAGAAACCUGUAUAUUUUGUUAGUCAUAUCAAUUGUCAGUCACAAUUGUCUCUAUGAGAGUAGGCAAACAGACACAAUUUGAUAUUAGUAAUUACCUGCGAUUGCAUAAAACCCUUCUUUGAUCUGAAGUGCGGUUAAAUGCCCAGGGAACACAACAAAUGCAUUCAUCAGUUUGGUUAGGGCAAGUACCACUUUACGAAUCAUACGACAUAUGCCGCUUUUCCACUACCAACGUGGCCGAGUUGGGCUGAGUCGAGCUGAGUGGGGCUGUUGGAGUUGCAUUUCGACUACAACCGCACUGAACCGUGUUGGCUGGAAGUGGGUGGACACAUUGGGUGGACGUCACGUGAUGUCAUUAGGCGGCGCAAACAGUGACAUCAGUGACCUUUUAAGCGGUAGUCUCACAACCCGGAUAGUAAACAAUAAACAUGGAGGACAUGGAGUCGUUAGUGUUGCUGGUCUUGGUGCUGUGGCUUGUUGUCACCGACAACGCCAACAGAUACUGGCAAGAGCGUAUAGAUGAGGCGAGGCACAUAAGGCUUCAGAAAUUCUCAUAAUUCUUCUUCUUCCAGGUUUACGGUGUUUACAGAUCCCAGCGUGCUCGCGGGGCGUGUGGGCAUGUGAGGACACUCCUCCUCACCAAUCAGUGCACAGGGGAGUGUCUCCUCACACCCCUAGCCCCACUCGGCUCGGUUUGGCUCGCUUCAGCCCUACUCCAAAACCGUGCGAGUUUUGGGUGCUGAGUAGGGCUGAAGCGAGCCGAGUCGUGCUGCUCGGAGGUAGUCGAAAUGCGAGCCAUGUCGGGCUGAAGUGAGCUGAAAAAGGGUAGUGGAAAAGGGCCAAUACAGUGUUCUUACUGAGGUUUUCAGCAUCACCGAUGGAAUACAUAUAUUAUCCACUGGCAAAGUAACGCCAUGACAAGCACAUAAUUUGCUCGAUUGUGAGGGCCUGGCUUCGGCGGGUUACAUUGCAGACGUCUGCCUCGAUCAGCUGGCAAAGGUAACGAAUUCUCUCAGCUGAGAAUCUAUAUUGUUCAUGAAGAACAUCGUCCGGGUAUGCCAGCGGAUUCUGGCGGUCUCUAAAUACCCUUGCCCUCCGGACAGAGCCCCUCACAAUCUGCACUCCGAUAUUGCACGGGUCAUCCAGGUACGCUGGCAUCGUCUCUAGAGGAAAUGUCGGUGGAGAGGUGGUGUUUAAAAAGGGUGUGGUUAAUCAGAAACCUUGGGUUAACCAAGAACAACCUGAGACGAGCAGGUUUGAGAUGCAGCGUAAAUUGCCAUGGCAGCAUACCUCGGUUUGAACAUAGCCAACUUUCGUAGUAUGGGUUAAUCGGGAAGAUACGCUGCACGUGAUCAAGUUACUCUCGAAGUUACCCUGGUAAGCCAGAAAACCCGCUUCGUAGUACAGGGCCCUGGUCACAUCCUUAUUCACAACAAAAAGAACCCAACACAACAUAGCUCCUUAAUGAGCAAGCUUGGCAAGGAACCCUCCCUGAAAUAUGUAGAAGAAACUUUGAGAUGAAUGGAGUCAAAAGGGAAUCCAUCCUCUUUUGGGGGACACCAGAUAGUGAGAUCAUUUAACAAUUACUUGCCGAAGGCAAAGUGAAUAUCGGUGAAUAAUAACCAAGACCAAGUCAAUACACAGGUGAUUAUUUAAAAAAACAAACAAAAACAUUAAAAAGAAUAAUUUACUUCCCAAGCCGCAUGCAAAAUGUAAUAAGUGAGGUGCAGACUUAUCACUUAUCUAUGCAACUCACAUAAAACACUUUGCUUUGAAACAGAUAAGUCACAAUUCCACCUUACCUCUGAAUAGUUUUAGACCAAACUUCGUAGCAUCUUUAGUGAUUUUAGGAACAGAAUUUUUUCAUAAUGUGUCAUGUUGCUCGAGGUGAUUAUUGCGAAACAGUCCGAAUUUCUCGACCAAUCAUUGCGUGCAAUUUCCUAUAAUCACCUCCAUAUUUAUACUAAAAUCAUUACUCUUAUACAACUAUAUAAUAUUAAGCCAAACAGUAUUGUAAUACUUAAAAUUGUGUUGCUUCAAUACCAGUAUCACACAGCCACAGUUUGUAGAUACAAGUCUGAAGUAUGCAGGUGAGAAUAUCCACUGAAGGGCUUGACUUGGGCAUAAACUCUUUCUGGGAAGUGAAAAUCUUUAGGGUAUCCAUGUGGGACCAUCCGCAGCAAUCUUUGGGGUGUUAAACAUCUUCAUAAAAUCAUAAAGACCAAUCAACAUAUUAAGAACAACAGGGUUGUAAGAACAACAGGGUUGAAUUUGCUUAUAUUUUCUGUGGACUGGACACAGCUUACCACUUUGUGUUGUGUAGCACAACGUGAAUUGCAGUCUGCUUUCUGGCACCUUGCACAGAGAGAUGAUUCUGACCUGGUUGAUGAAUAGAAGAGACCUUGCUUCUAAAUUAGUAGAGUGGAAGUUUCUGAGUCACAUGUUGAAUAAAGACAAUUCAAAUGGAAAUCACAAACCUGUGCCGAGCAGAAAAACACCAGAUUCUCUCACUUUAUCCCUUUCAUCAGUCACACAGCUAUGAAUCCCAUAUAUUAAGGGUAGGCACACUGGUGACUCAUGCAAAAUGGAAGAUUUGUCUAACAGCAUUGCAAUUUAGAAUUGGUGUGGCUUUGUUGUGCUGGCGUCCCAAAUUGUUAAACGCAAGGACCAAGAUCUCAGGAACUACAGUGGACUGGCAUUCCAGUCAGGGUAUAUUCCUGCUUUGUCCCUACUGUGUCAAGAUGAACUCUGAAUCCACUGUGACCCUGACCAAGUUACUUUGGUCACAAGUUGAUAUGAGAUUAGGUUGAUAGUAAAUCAUUAGAUUAAUAACUGGGGAGCAAAAACAUGAAGAAAACAAUACCAUUAAUGACAAAAUAAGUAACUUUCUCGUUGCACUUUUACUGUGACAAGUGGUGAAUCAUUAAAAAAAACACAGUUUUAAAUUAAUACCUAGCUCCUGUGGAAAUUAAGGUUACUUGUUCACAUCAGAAAUGAGACCAAGUUGGUUGAUCCAUUUAUUAACAAAUAAGAGGUAGCUGUGGCAUGUGUCACACUGAUACUCGCUGGUUAUCAUCCAACAGAACAUUUUAUGUAAUGAAUGGUAUUUAGCAACUAAAUCUUACUGUACAUUUGCUUGUUUUAUUUCUUUUUCGAUAUUAAACUCACAAUCUACUUUUUUUCAAUAAUCUCACAUAAGAAUCACAGAGACACAACACUGGUCUUGGAUGACUUUAUUGUAUAAAUACAGGUAUUGCUAGCAUUCUGUCCAGCAAACCUCUCAAUGGGAAUAAUGUAAAUUCAAUAAAGCUUUUACAGAAAACACAGAAGGCCCACAAUGAUUGCAUUUUCAAAGAAAACUCCUUUGGCCCAUGUCUAUAAAGGAUUUCAGCACUUAAGAAGAAAGGAAAAUAAAAGAACACUUGGUAUUAAGACAUAUAUCGAAUUCCAAAUUCAAUAUGAGGAAUGAUAAAAUGAGGAUGUAUUUACUUUGAAUUCUGUGAAAACUAAUGAUAAAACUAUAUACACCUCUUAAAAUAGCAGGGUUUGUGAUGUUUAAAA